rnacentral:lncRNA from 1 species
CAAAUGCCACUUGCCCCCCAUUCAGAUACGGAAUGCAGGAAAAGAAACAAAUGGAGUGUCUGAAUGUAAUAAUGCAUUUGCACUUUGGUUGUGAGAAAGCAAACCACAGCGAGUGUUUUUGUUCAGUUCUGCACAACACACACUCAAGACAGGGUUGCACACAAUGCUCAAGGUCACAAUCAGCAUCAAAACACACAUCAGCAAGGUUCAAGCGCUUUUCACUUUCAAUCCAACAGCAUCCAUGCAUGCAGUGGCCUCAACAGGCGUGCAGAGGCGCAAGGUUCCCAACGUGCAGAGGCGUUCAGUGGCAUGCAGAGGCUGGCCUUGUCCUGUCAGAAACUUAAUCCUAGCCAUGGUCCUGCUCCCAUUUCUCUGGCCUUCUUUGCUGAGUCGCGGCCCUGACGACUAAGGGCAUCCAAGUACAACUGGCCUAGAAUUCUCAAUCACACACACUGCGCUCCAAACUCUGCUCAUGCACGUUCAGCUUGCUCAUCAGGACCACAAUCACUGUGUCACACCAUGUCUCAAGGCUCUUCUUCUUAACAACAACUGUCUGGCGCACACUGGUGCAAGCAAGUCUCAUCCACACUUGUGUCUCGCACACAGCCUUGCCUUGUACUUGCAGCGAGAAAUGUGUUCCGCAGCUCAGUUGCUGUGAUGUCAAGAGCGCGAGAACGUGAGUCUACUUGCGUGCUUGCUCGUACGU